GUCCACGCCGUAAACGUUGGGCACUAGGUGUGGGUUCCUAUCGACGGGAUCCGUGCCGUAGCUAACGCAUUAAGUGCCCCGCCUGGGGAGUACGGCCGCAAGGCUAAAACUCAAAGGAAUUGACGGGGGCCCGCACAAGCAGCGGAGCAUGUUGCUUAAUUCGAGGCAACGCGAAGAACCUUACCUGGGCUUGACAUGUAGGGAAAAGCCGUAGAGAUACGGUGUCCUUUUGGGCCCUACACAGGUGGUGCAUGGCUGUCGU
rnacentral:rRNA from 1 species